rnacentral:misc_RNA from 1 species
UCCGGCUUGCCACCGGCAGUUCCACUAGAGUGCCCAGCUUAACCUGAUGGCAACUAGUAGCGAGGGUUGCGCUCGUUGCGGGACUUAACCCAACAUCUCACGACACGAGCUGACGACAGCCAUGCAGCACCUGUGCGAAGGUUCCCUUUCGGGCACACCCACAUCUCUGCGGGCUUCCUUCCAUGUCAAGGGUAGGUAAGGUUUUUCGCGUUGCAUCGAAUUAAUCCACAUCAUCCACCGCUUGUGCGGGUCCCCGUCAAUUCCUUUGAGUUUUAAUCUUGCGACCGUACUCCCCAGGCGGUCAACUUCACGCGUUAGCUGCGUUACCAAGGAAAUUAAUCCCCGACAACUAGUUGACAUCGUUUAGGGCGUGGACUAC